UCUGGCACCUGGAACCAAGGCAGGCCCACAGUGAGAACAAGACUGGCGUCCAGGACUCGAAGCAGAAUGGCGAAGCAAUGAGGUCCUGCUGUACGGCACAGGGAGCGCUAUCCGAUCACUCGCGAUGGACACAGUAACGAGAAAAAGAAUGUCUGUAUAUGUAUGACUGUGCCACUUUGCUGUGCAGCAGAAAUGGACAGAACAUGGUAAAUCAACUACAACAACAAAGAAUCUGCCCAUGAGUCAGCCUCUCACGCUCAGGACCCCUGGAACAAGGCCAGCCUUCCGGCUCACCCAGCGUGUUGGGACACCACCGCCGGGAGCAAGGAAGGUGGCUGUGGACUUUGCAACCCGGUGCUGGGGAGAGAGGAAUUUAAACCACCCACCACCCCAGAGUGGUUUCCAGGAAUGCAGGGUGAUGAAGGGGAACUGAAGGCUAAAGAGCAUCGCCAACAUUAAUCUUCAAGAUUAUGCUGCCAACAUCACAUCACACCUGUCAGAAUGGCCACCAUCCAAAAGAACACAAAUAACAAAUGCUGGCGAGGAUGUGGAGA